CCUACGGGGGCAGCAGUGGGGAAUAUUGCGCAAUGGGCGAAAGCCUGACGCAGCGACGCCGCGUGAGGGAAGAAGGUCUUCGGAUCGUAAACCUCUGUCAGGAGGGAAGAACCGCAUAGGAAGGAAAUGUCCUGUGUCUGACGGUACCUCCAGAGGAAGCACCGGCUAACUCCGUGCCAGCAGCCGCGGUAACACGGAGGGUGCCAGCGUUAAUCGGAAUUACUGGGCGUAAAGCGCGCGUAGGCGGCUUGAUAAGUCGGGUGUGAAAGCCCUCGGCUCAACCGGGGAACGGCACUCGAAACUGGCUGGCUGGAGUCCGAGAGAGGGUGGCGGAAUUCCGGG
rnacentral:rRNA from 1 species